CUGUGCCGUGUUGUCUGAUCGAAGCCCCGUCUCUCUCUGCUCUGCUCUGUCUCCUCUGCUCAGCUCACCCCCUUUCCCCAGAUCCGACGCGAAUGGCCUCCUAUGACGGCGAGGACGACUCCGGCCGGCGGCGCCCGCCGCCGCAGCAGCACCGCCCGUCCGGCGGGGGCAGCGGCGACCUCGCCGCCAGCGCCAAGCUGGUGGCGGAGGCGGCCAAGGCGGCGCUCCAGGACCACAACCUGGGGAAGGUCGACAAGGGCCGCACCGCCGAGGCCGCCGCCGACCUGCUCCACGCGGCCUCCCUCUACGGCAAGCUCGAGGGCAAGCCCGUCGGCGGCUACCUCAACAAGGCCGAGGACUACCUCCACAAGUUCGGCGCCAAGGAGGGGGGCAGCGGAGGCGGCAAGCACCAGCCCAGUGGUCACGGGGGUUCAGGCGGCAGGUACGAGGAGGAGGAUGAGUACAGGAAGAAGCCUACUAGUGGUGGUGGGAGGUACGAACAGGAUGAUGAUGAGUACAAGAAGAAGCCCAGCGGUGAUGGGAGGUAUGAAGAGGAUGAUGAGUACAGGAAGAAGCCUACUGGUGGUGGUGGUGACUACGGAGGUGGAAGGUAUGAGGAAGAAGAUGAGUACAAGAAGAAGCCUAGCAGUGGUGGCUAUGGUGGGGGGAGGUAUGAGCAAGAAGAUGACUUCAAGAGGCCUCCUAGUGGUGGUGGUGGUGGCGGCUAUGGUGGGGGAAGGUAUGAAGACGAUGAUGAGUACAAGAAGAAGCCUAGUGCUGGUGGAUAUGGAGGUGGAGGAGGGAGAUACGAAGAUGAGUACAAGAAGAAGCCAACCGGUGGCCAUGGUGGAGGGAGGUAUGAGGAAGAUGAUGAGUACAAGAGGCCUAGUGGUGGAAGCCAUGGAGGGAGGUAUGAAGAAGAGGACUACAAGAAGAAGCCUAGUGGUGGAGGAAGGUAUGAAGAAGAGGACUACAAGAAGAAGCCUAGUGGUGGAGGAAGGUAUGAAGAAGAUGACUACAAGAAGAAGCCUAGUGGUGGAAGCCAUGGAGGGAAGGAUGAGUCAGAAGGCGGUGGCAUUGGAGACUACAUUAAACUUGCACAAGGUUUCAUGAAGAAGCAGGAUGACGAGGGUGGGCACAAGAAGACUAGUGGACAUGGAGGAGGAGGGUAUGGAAAGGAGGAAAAUGAAGAGGACAGCGGCAAGAAGAAACAUGGUGGUCGCCCUGAGAGUGGAAAAGACGAGUCGGAGGGCAGUGGCAUGGCAGAUUACCUGAAACUUGCACAGGGUUUCAUGAAGAAGGAUGGUGAAGGGGGAAGUGGAGCUGGUAUGGGGGACUACUUAAAGCUUGCAGAGGGGUUCAUGAAGAAGCGUUGAUUUAUAACUGAUCUUCGCUACCAUUGCGAUUGAUGAAGGACUUUGUGUUUGGGCUACAACAAGGAGAGGACGCCAAAGAUCUUCGUUCUGGAGCCGAGAUGAUCAGGACUGGCACGAUGCAGCUGAUGAAGAUGUGUGGCGCUGUCAAGCAACCAAUCCAGGGCGCUUGAAAGGAAGACGGGCGCGCAACCUCGAUGCUGUUCUAUCUCGGCGAAGAUUACCAUCUGUUUACUUGACUUUGCAGUUGUGUUCUGAUACUUGAUCCUGAGCUUUUGAGAUUGUAAUAGGAUAGAUGUUAUGUCGUGCUAUCCAGGUUUUCGCCCCAUGAUACUCGUUUCGAUGGCGAGCGAGUAUGGUGGGUUUCCUGGUAGUGCUAGAACUCGCUUUACUUCUUUCCCUCCCCCUGACCUUCUCGUUUGAA